AGCUGUGUCCCCCGUCAGAUGGGUGGAUUUUUCUAACUCCCAGAUCACAGUUGGGGCGAUCCUCCUGGCUCCCUCAUGAAUGACAAAUCCCAGCUCUGUGUGGAGUGUGGGGCAUGAGGCAGGGGACAGAGGACAGCUGUGGGCUCAACUCCUUCCUCCAGGCAGGUGGAGGCAGAGCUCUGAGCGCUUCACAGUCCACUGAGUUCCCAUCUUGGUUCUCAGCUGUGGCUUGGAGUUGCCUUCAUUCUGGUGCUAGAGAAUUUCAAGCGAGGAUCUGAAUUUCCAAACAUUUUGUUACUUUAUGGAGCAUAUUUAUGUGUUUGGAGCAGGGCCACUCUGUGAGCGGUUGAUCUCCCUAUCAGCUCCGUUCACCAUGGGGGUUAUGGGGGCAGAAUUGGAAUUCUCAAUUCAUAAUAUAACCAAGUUGAGCUUGAAAGGAAAACCCAAGGACGUUAUGUCCUGGUGCUAGCAGUGGGCGCUUCGAGUCUGAGAGCUGUUGCGGUUCCCUGGACCGUGGAAGGGGUAAUCUCUGCCUCUCCUUCCAUUUUUAGGAUCCAGCCUUGUGCCUAGCCCCUCCUGGGUGCCCACACAGCAGACAGCUGCCCCUUGCUCAUGCUUUACAGACGUUGUCUCUAAUUCUCAUAACUUUUUGAAGUAGAUAUGUUAUGGCUUUUGUUCCUUUUUAAAAUUUACCAUUUUGUGCUAAAAUACAUUUGAAAUAAAAUAUACCAUUGUAACCAUUUUUAAGUGUACAUUUCAGGAUGGAAUACAUUCAUGCCAUUGUGCAACCUUCACCACCGCCCAUCUCCAGAACUCUCUUCAUCCUGCAAAACUGAAACUCGGCCCCGGGUGCCCAUCCCCCUCCCCGCCCUGGCAUCCACCCUCUACUUUCUGUCUCUCUGAUCUUGACUGGAAGUAGGUAUGUACUUAGUCCGCAUUUUAAAGUGCAGAGCCUGGGACCCAGUGAGACGGAGUCACGUGCCUGUGGUCACUCGAUAGAAAAUGGCAAAGCUGGGCAUCCCACCCGAGGUCUGUGUCCACAGCCCCUGCCUUGGCGGCCACUACACUGUGGCUUCUUUCAAGAGGGAGGAGGUGUGAUCACGAAAGCAGAGCUUGGAGUGAGGUGGCCACAAGCCCAGGAACAGGAGCAGCCACCAAGCACCGGAAGAGGCAAGAAGGAAAUUCUCCCUGGAUCCUGCAGAAGGAACCAGCCCUCUGACACCUUGACCUCAUGAACCUGAGUUUGGGCUCUGGCCUGCAGAAUUGUAAGGGAAUAAAUUGUUGUUGCUUUA
rnacentral:lncRNA from 10 species